UUGUAAGCAGAGCUGGGACUUGAAAACAGAUCUUCCAUCUCAGUCCAGAGGGGGCAAAAAUAGAGAAACCUUAGCUUGAAAAACUCAGGGGAUUUGGACAGUUGUAAGGGAACUAAAAACAACUGCCUGCCCUUGGAAAUCUGCAUGGCCUCGGAGACUGUGCUAAACACAUUGGGUGUGUUCUUUUAUCCAAUCUUUACUGUAACUAAGCAUUUUAAUCAAUGGCCAAGUCAUCAGUUAGGUUAAAUAACUUGCUCAAAGCCUUGCCCUGAGAACACAGCAGAGUCUAUGGCCAUACCAUUCUGAAUGUGCCCUAUCUCUUCUGAUCUUGUGAAGCUAAGCAGGGUCAGGCCUGGUUAGUACUUGGAUGGGAGACUAUGGCGAGGCUGAGCCAGGAUUUGACCCCAACAGUUGAGCUCUAUCCUCUCUCAAAUGCUGCUUUUGCUGAGUCAGACAAAAGAAUUAUGGCUUUCCUCUUAAGACCUAGUCAUCUUUUGGGAGAUGUCUUUCUCCAGGAAGACCUCCCUAAAUGCUCCAAGCCACAACCAGCACAUCUCCCAGAUACAAAUGUCUAACCUCUAGGAAACUUACUCAGCAGCCCACCUCACCCCACCAGUUUCCCAUGGAUCUGAAGCUCCAUGUCUUCAAGACAGCGGUUCCUGCCUUCGUCAUACUUUUGAGUACCAGUUCCCUCCACCCCACAGUUCCCAAAUUUUAAUUCAGUACCAAAUUCUCAGGAGACACUCAGAGACUUGCAAAGUCAAAGGGGAAGACUGAGAAAGGGAAGCUGUGGGAACCAGAACUCGCCUGUGACUAAUGCUGAUCUUUCACUGAAAUCAACUCUUUAGGAAGCUCUUUGAAAAAAAUCAACUAAUUUUAAGUCAAGUAAUUUUUUUUAACUCUACGAAUUUCCUCAUCUGCCAUGGGAGGUAAUAUAUUCAAAGCACCUAGGCACACAUGGAUAUUGCAUAAAUGGAAGUCAUUAUUAUUAUUAUUCAAGAUCCAUUAAUUUCAUUGGUCAGUUGAAUAAGGAUGUAUUCCCCCUGUUUAAUCUAAAUUCAUCAAGUGUAAGAUGGUGGCCAAAAAGUCAUGGUGUAAAGACAAUACUUUAAUCCUGACUAUCAUUCUUAGGCACAUAAAUCAGCCCUCUCUCUGAAUUCUCUUAGUGUUUUCACUUGAGUCUCACUCCCCA
rnacentral:lncRNA from 1 species